UGGGGAAUAUUGCACAAUGGGCGCAAGCCUGAUGCAGCAACGCCGCGUGAACGAUGAAGGUCUUCGGAUCGUAAAGUUCUGUUGCAGGGGAAGAUAAUGACGGUACCCUGUGAGGAAGCCCCGGCUAACUACGUGCCAGCAGCCGCGGUAAUACGUAGGGGGCUAGCGUUAUCAGGAUUUACUGGGCGUAAAGGGUGCGUAGGUGGUCUUUCAAGUCGGUGGUUAAAGGCUACGGCUCAACCGUAGUUAGCCUCCGAAACUGGAAGACUUGAUGGCAGGAGAGGAAAGUGGAAUUCCCAGUGUAGCGGUGAAAUGCGUAGAUAUUGGGAGGAACACCAGUAGCGAAGGCGGCUUUCUGGACUGCAACUGACACUGAGGCACGAAAGCGUGGGUAGCAAACAGG
rnacentral:rRNA from 1 species